CAAUAGCGUAUAUCUAAGUUGCUGCAGUUAAAAAGCUCGUAGUUGGAUUUCGGGUGGGAAUGGCCGGUCCGCCGUUUCGGUGUGCACUUGCUACGCCCACCUUGCUGCCGGGGACGUGCUCUUGAGUUCACGCUCGGGACACGGAGUCGGCGAGGUUACUUUGAGUAAAUUAGAGUGUUCAAAGCAGGCCUACGCUCUGAAUACAUUAGCAUGGAAUAACACGAUAGGACUCUGGCCUAUCUUGUUGGUCUGUAGGACCGGAGUAAUGAUUAAGAGGGACAGUCGGGGGCAUUCGUAUUUCAUUGUCAGAGGUGAAAUUCUUGGAUUUAUGGAAGACGAACUACUGCGAAAGCAUUUGCCAAGGAUGUUUUCAUUAA
rnacentral:rRNA from 1 species